AUUGAACGCUGGCGGCAGGCCUAACACAUGCAAGUCGAGCGGUAACACAGAGGAGCUUGCUCCUUGGGUGACGAGCGGCGGACGGGUGAGUAAUGCCUGGGGAUCUGCCCGAUAGAGGGGGAUAACUACGGGAAACUGUAGCUAAUACCGCAUAAUGUCUACGGACCAAAGUGGGGGCUCUUCGGACCUCAUACUAUCGGAUGGACCCAGGUGGGAUUAGCUAGUUGGUGAGGUAAUGGCUCACCAAGGCGACGAUCUCUAACUGGUUUGAGAGAAUGACCAGUCCAACUGGAAAUGAGACACGCUCCAGACUCAUACGGGAGGCAGCAGUGGUGAAUAUUGCACAAUGGGCGCAAGUCUGAUGCAGCCAUGCCGCGUGUGUGAAGAAGGCCUUCGGGUUGUAAAGCACUUUCAGCGGGGAGGAAGGGUCACUAGUUAAUACCUAGUGGCAUUGACGUUACUCGCAGAAGAAGCACCGGCUAACUCCGUGCCAGCAGCCGCCGCGGUAAUAC
rnacentral:rRNA from 1 species